AGUAAAAGUCGUAACAAGGUUUCCGUAGGUGAACCUGCGGAAGGAUCAUUAACGAAUAUAAUUCGAGGGGUUGUCGCUGGCCUCGCUCGCGCGAGGCAUGUGCACGCUUCUCGUUUUUCUCUCAACUCACCUGUGCACCUAAUGUAGGAUGCCUCUCCUCCGGGAGGGGGGACCUAUGUCUUCAUAACAUCUUCGUGUAGAAAGUCUUUGAAUGUUUACUAUCAUCGAGUCGCGACUUCUAGGAGACGCGAUUCUUUGAGAUAAAAGUUAUUACAACUUUCAGCAACGGAUCUCUUGGCUCUCGCAUCGAUGAAGAACGCAGCGAAAAGCGAUAUGUAAUGUGAAUUGCAGAUCUACAGUGAAUCAUCGAAUCUUUGAACGCACCUUGCGCUCCUCGGUGUUCCGAGGAGCAUGCCUGUUUGAGUGUCAGUAAAUUCUCAACCCCUCUCGAUUAGCUUCGAGAGGGCGUUUGGAUAGUGGAGGUUGCCGGAGACUUGGAUUCGUCCGAGACUCGGGCUCUUCUGAAAUGCAUCGGCUUGCGGUCGACUUUCGACUAUGUGCGACAAGGCUUUCGGCGUGAUAAUGAUCGCCGUUCGCUGAAGCGCAUGACUGAACGUCCCGUGCCUCUAAUACGUCGACCGCUUAUUAUCUCUCCGGAGAGAACAGGGUCUUCCUAAUUGACUUU
rnacentral:misc_RNA from 1 species